CGCGGGGUGGAGCAGUCUGGUAGCUCGGCGGGCUCAUAACCCGCAGGUCGAGGGUUCAAAUCCCUCCCCCGCACCCA
rnacentral:tRNA from 3 species